rnacentral:rRNA from 1 species
GACGAACGCUGGCGGCGUGCUUAACACAUGCAAGUCGAACGGAAAGGCCCUGCUUGCAGGGUACUCGAGUGGCGAACGGGUGAGUAACACGUGGGUGAUCUGCCCUUCACUUCGGGAUAAGCCUGGGAAACUGGGUCUAAUACCGGAUAGGAGCCAUUUUUAGUGUGAUGGGUGGAAAGUUUUUUCGGUGUAGGAUGAGCUCGCGGCCUAUCAGCUUGUUUGUGGGGUAAUGGCCUACCAAUGCGGCGAAGGGUAGGCGGCCUGAGGGGGUGGACGGCCCCAUUGGGACUGUGAUACGGCCCCGAUGCCUGAUGGUCGCAGUAGGGGGGAAUAUUGCAAAAAGAGCGGGAGCCUGAUGGAGCGAACCCGCGUGGGGGAGGACGGCCCUCGGGUUGUAAGCUCCGUUCGCUAGGGUCGAAGCUUUUUGUGACGGUACCUAGAGAAGAAGCACCGGCUAACUACGUG